CACAAAAUAACCCUAGAUUUCCUUCACUCUCAGGAGCUCUUCCUCAAUUCUGCAUUUCAAUCUCUCUCAAGGACUGAAGGAUCAAGUUGGCACGCAGGCAGCACAAAGAUUAUCUAGACAUGUCAGUAAAGUUAACACCUUCUAAGAGACCAUAUGAUCGAAGCAUUACAGAAACUAAUGACAGAGGAAAGUGGCAAAAAUCAGCUGGUUUAGGUUCAGAGAAAUCACCAUUGAAGACAUCUGCUCCAAGCAAGUUUCUCCGUGUCCUCUGUCCUGUUUCAAGAAUUGGAUUUAUCAUUGGGGAAGAUGGCAACAUCCUUCCUGAAAUAGGUCAGGCAACUGGUGCACAGGUUCGGGUUGAGGAAGCUAUCCCUGGAUGUGAUGAGAGAGUGGUUGUUGUUUUAGGUUCGGGUGAUAAAGAUGGAGCAGGAUCUGAGCAGCAUGAGGCCAAGGUUGAGGAAACUGACACAAAAGAUACGGACAAUGAGUUGGCUGAAAAUGAUGGCAAUGGCCAAAGUAAACAGUCUGCUGAGGUUGAAGACUCCAAAUUGAGAAGAGAAAUUUCAGCUAUUCAGGAAGCUCUGUUGUGCUUAUUUGAAAGAAUGGUUAAAGAAGAUUUGGAGAAGGACAGGGGAGAUGAUGAGGGUAAUAAUUCUUCCUUUUUAACUUUAAGGUUGCUCAUAUUCAGCAGCCAAGUGAACUGCUUGAUGGGGAAAGGUGGUAGUGUCUUAAAGCAGAUUUCGUCUGAGAGCGGGGCUGAGAUACACAUUCUUGCAAGGGAGAAACUUCCUCUUUGUGCUUCUUCAUCUGAUGAUCUUGUUCAGAUUUCUGGGCAACAUGGUGCUGUUAAGAAAGCUAUUGAGUCUAUUUCUCAACAACUUCUUGAAAGCUCCCCUCUGGAGCAAGAUCCUUUGCCAGCCAAUGCAAGUGGGCCCUCUUCUCAACCGUUUGGCCAUCGCUUUUCUAGCCAGGAUUCACAACCUCGACCAAAUAAUCCUUUCAAUGGACCAAGACCUCCUUAUUCUACUGGAUAUCAUGAUGGUGAAACUGGAUUUCGUGGCCAAAUGAAUCCUCCUCAGGAUGCCUUAACUUUCCGAUUACUUUGUCCUGAUGAAAAAGUGGGAGGCGUAAUUGGAAAAGGAGGGAGUAUAAUCAAGACAAUUCAACAUGAGACUGGCUGUGAGAUCCAAGUUCUAGAAGGUGCAGCUGAUUCUGAAGAUCGGAUUAUUGCCAUAUCUGGUUCGGUGCAUCCACAUGAUAGGAUAUCUCCUCCACAAGAUGCUGUCCUUCGUGUACAGUCCAGAAUUUUUAGGGCUCUACCUGAAAGCAAGGACAACACAAUGCUAGCAAAACUUCUUGUCUCCUCUAAUCAAAUUGGAUGCCUUUUGGGCAAAGGUGGUUCUAUUAUUGCUGAAAUGAGGAAAUCAACUGGUGCUUAUAUUCGUAUUCUGGGGAAGGAUCAAACACCAAAUUGUGCUUCUGAGAAUGAGGAAGUAGUUCAGGUAAAUGGUGAAUUUGAUACAGUUCAAGAGGCUCUUUUUCAGAUAACCUCAAGAUUGCAGGAGCAUUUCUUUCGUGAUGCGUUUCCUUCUAUGAAUCGACCGACAAAUCCUCGCUUUCUGGACCAUAUUCCUCUUCCUUCAUACCGGGGAAGGAGGGAACUUUCUCCUGCUGGAAUGUAUCCUAGUAUGGGUCCACCAUUUCACCAGUUUGAUGGCAUUGGAGGCCUGCCUCCACGUGGUGGUUUCCAUCCACAUGAUGAUCGUCCUCCUUUUAUGCCUAAUUUUCACCGGUCAGGCGUCCGACCUCCUGUUUCUGAACGGAUGCCAUCUUCUGGACCUUGGGUUCCCCAGGGACUGAUUGAUGGUGGUGGUCCAAUGGGCAUGCCUGACUAUGCAGCAGGUCCCCAGAGAAGAAUUGGUGGAUUUGGAGGGGGAAGUCCAGCUAUUAUAACUAGCACCAAGGUGGAAGUAGUUGUUCCUCGUUCUGUUGUUCCUGAAAUCUAUGGGGAUGGUGGGGGAUGUCUCAGACAAAUAUGUGAGAUUUCUGAUGCAAAAGUUAUCAUUAAUGAUCCCAAGCCUGGAGCAACAGAGGCUAUGAUAAUUAUAUCUGGAACACCUGAGCAAACAAAUGCUGCGCAGUCUCUUAUUCAGGCAUUUGUGAUGCUUGAGACAGAAGCAGCAUGAUUUUUGAUACUAAGUUGUUUGGCAGCCAUGAUUCGAAUGUUCUGCUGUGGUUUACACAUUUACAUCUAGGUUCCUUUUGAGAUGAAGACGCGAGCCCUUGAAUGGAUCCAGCAGCAGCGACGAGCGAUACAACGAGGCAAGUCCAGCUCAGGAUCUUCAGCCAUAUCCAUCUGAACGAGUACUUGGGGAUCUUGGCCUGCGCGAUGUGCAUCUCAAUCGGAAAGUAGACGGUGAGUGGAUAGAACGAGGCUGCCCCAAUCAGCCCCAAGAAGUCGUUGAAGAAUGGGAAUAUCAUUGCGACCACGGCUGUGACUAUGACAUAACAUGAUCUCCACACCAGCCUGAAGAAGUUGAUGGAGUAAGUGCCGAAGCACGGAACAUUCACAUCAUAUUCUGUGGUUAUGAAUUUGUUGUCUGGCCAUCUCUGUCUGCAGCGAGACUCGACGAAGCUGAAUAUUGGUUGGCAAAAAACCUGGAAACAGAGAGGUUAGAUUCAUGAGUUCAUCAGAUCAUUGUUGCAGACAAGUAAAUGCUACUGGAAAACACUAAACCGCAUAUGAUCAAUGAACUGUGUGUGUGUUACCUGGUAAGCUCCGAUGAGAUGGAUGGCGAUGCAGACGUUGGCGAAGUCGAUCAGCCAGAAGGGCUCGUAGAAGCCGAAACCGGUGAGGAAGUUGCCGGGAGCAUUGUUUCCAAACGCGGCGUAGCCAAGGCAACCACAUAGGACAUAGAACAUUGUGGUUGUGGUCACUCCAACCCCAGAUGCUUUCUUCAUUACCUUGUUUUCUGGUGGGUGUGAUCUCAAUGUGUCCUGCAAUCACAUUUUGACCCAUUAUUUCAUCUUUUACUAGAUCUCAUGAAGACCGAUCAAAACUCAGUUGGAUUAGUUAGUUUCAAGCAGAAAGGAUCAAAACUCAGUUGGAUUAGUUAGUUUCAAGCAGAAAGAAUCCGAUUACUCGGGUCUAACUGGAUUCAACUUUUAAAUUUUCGCGACUCAUUUCAAACACUCUACUAAUCUGGUUGGUCAUGCUAUAACUCCCAUUCCGGUA